GAGGGGUCACGUGGGGCGCGCGGGGGACGGACCGGGGCGCGCGCGGUCCGGGGGGACGCUGGAGGGAGGGCGCGGGAUGGAGGGAUCGCGGGGGUCCCAGGACGGAGAGGUCGCGCCGGGCGCGCUCGGAACACGCAGGAAAUUCUCCCCGAGGCGUGGGCUCCGCGGGGCUUCCCCGCCGGUUCGCUGAGUCCCAGCUCCGCUCGGCCGGGACCUCCGUGGCAGGCUCGGGGAGCCCGCGGGGGGCAGAGGCGCCGACCUCCGCCUGGGACCGAGAGGAACCCGCGCCCUGCCCUGCCCCGCCCGGCGCGCGUGGGCCUGAGUCAGGCGCCUCAGCACGGGGACCCCCGGGCCGGCCUUCACGCCGCAGAGCCGCUGCAGGUGAGACUGUGGCCCACAGACACUGCUUGCAGCAGGCAGAGGAUGUGGGAGCCUCGUGGGAACCCCCCCGACUUGUCCACUGAAGUAACAGCAGCAAUGACCUUCCCUCGGGAAUUCCACCUCUGCGUUUUUCCCUCCAGAUGGAAUCUCGCUCUGUCGCCCAGGCUGGAGUGCAGUGGCGCGAUCCUGGCUCACUGCAAGCUCCGCCUCCCAGGUUCACGCCAUUCUCCUGCCUCAGCCUCCCGAGUAGCUGGGACUACAGGCGCCUGCCAACACACCCGGCUAAUUUUUUGUAUUUUUAGUAGAGACGGGGUUUCACCAUGUUAGCCAGGAUGGUCUCGAUUUCCUGACCUCGUGAUCUGCCCAUCUCAGCCUCUCAAAGUGCUGGGAUUACAGGCGUGAGCCACCGCGCCCGGCCUACUCUGAAUAUUUAUGCAACUUUUAG
rnacentral:lncRNA from 1 species